rnacentral:sRNA from 1 species
GCCAGGCGCGGUGGUACAUGCCUGUAAUCCCGGCAGCUGGGAGGCUGAGACAGGAGGAUCCCGAGUUCAAAGCCAGCCUCAGCAAAAGCGAGGAGCUAAGCAACUCAGUGAGACCCUGCCUCUA